CUAAAAGGCCCUAGGCCCUACCUAGAAUUAAAAAUUCUAGGUAAGGCCUAGGGCCUUUUAA
rnacentral:rRNA from 1 species